GACGAACGCUGGCGGCGUGGAUUAGGCAUGCAAGUCGAACGGUAUCAUCCUUUCGGGGGUGAGAGAGUGGCGAACUGGUGAGUAACACGUAGGUUAUCUACCCUCAAGACGGGGACAACCCAGGGAAACUUGGGCUAAUACCGGAUGUGAGCAACUUUUAGUUGUUUGAAAGGUGGCGUAAGCUGUCGCUUGGGGAUGAGCCUGCGUCCUAUUAGUUAGUUGGUGAGGUAACGGCUCACCUAGGCAAUGAUAGGUAGGCGGCCUUAACGGGUGGUCGCCCACACUGGGAUUGAGAUACGGCCCAGACUCCUACGGGAGGCAGCAGUCGAGAAUAGUCUACAAUGGUCGGAAGACUGAUAGUGCGACGCCGCGUGAACGAUGAAUCCCUUCGGGGUGUAAAGUUCUUUUAUAUGUGAGCAGUGCUUCUUAUAUUAACAGUAUGGGGAAGAGAUAUUAGCAUAUGAAUAAGCAAACGGCUAAACUCCGUGCCCAGCAAGCCGCGGU
rnacentral:rRNA from 1 species